rnacentral:lncRNA from 1 species
GAAAUAAGUAUUCCACAUAUUCAAAAAAUGUCACAUACAUAAAAUCUCAUACAGGGCUGAAAUCCAUCCAUACGCGAAUUUAACUAGUGUAUUGACAUUCCAUACUAAAAAAGCUCUCUGUAAUUUUAUUACCGUUCUCUGUAAAUUAUAGCCGUUAACCUUUCUCGUCUUCUCCAAUGGGGACGCCGCUUGGCGAUCCUCCACCGAAUCCUCUCAAUAGAAGCCCUCAAUUCAGCGGGGGUAAUCCCCUACCUAUCUCUGCCAAUGGCUAUCACCAAUCUUAUGCAGCCUCUCUUACAGAACCCUCCUCUUCUGCAACCCCAAAUCGUCAAGAGCAAGGGAUGGUGAUGGCUCGAAGGUCAGUUCACAACGGGAUGCCUGCGGUGAUCUUCAAAGCAUCUGAUUGCAAUGGAAUCAUGGCAACUCCGUGUAAAAGAACGAUUGUCGGCAGGUGUAAUACCCCAUACUUUUUUCUAGCUCCUAGUGUAUCAAGGGUUAGCUUUGAAAAUGUAUAAUUCUUGAUGCGAGUAGAAUUUUCCAGCUUUAGACCCUUUCAUUUGUAGAUAAUUGAAUUACCUUUCAAACGAUACCAAUUUUAUCUUAAUUCGAUAUUCGGUUGAGAAGUUAUAACGAUUUUAGUGAAAGCAGUAGAUCACCGCGAUAAGCACCGCGUUGCGGUGAAGGACAAAUUCGCAAUUGUCCGAUUACAGUGAAGCACCACGAUUGACCCGCGUCGCGGUGAAGUUUCAGUUUCCGUUCGUCCCAUUCCAGUAGCUCAUCGCGAUUAGCCUAUAUUGCGCCAAACUUUCCAAUUGGACAAAUGACGCGUUGCGGUGGAGUGCAAAAUGACACUCAUCCUUUUCCAGUGGUGCAACGCGAUUACGUUGCGUCACGCCAGAGGCCAAAAUGGCAAUUGUCCCUUUUUCAGUAAGCCACCAUGAUAGCGUCGCGUCGCGGUGGCAUGCCAAAUCUGGAUUUUAAGUUUCGAGUAAAAUUUUAAAAGGGCAAUUUAGUCUUUUUCAAAGCCCCCAAAUCGUGAAUAACAGAGGAUUAAACCUAUUAUGCUCACUUUUCAUUAACUUUCUCUCAAAGAAACCCUAGAACAUCAAACCUUCAUCCCCAAUAAAUCCAAAUUCCUCCAUUCUUUCUUCAAGAUAACUCAAAAUUAAAGAUUCUCAAUCCAAGAACUUCAAGAAUCAAUCUUUAAGAGCACAAAUAGGAACUUAAAGUUCAAACUUCUUCAUCUAGUUAUCAAUUAAGGUAUGUGGGGUUAUGAGCAAGGAUAAAUCUUUCAUCCUUGUGCCCUAAACUAGUUUUUAACUACAAAGUUACAUGAUUUUGUAUGAUUACCCAUGAAUUUCAAUUUAGGGUUCAUACCCAAAUGUUGCUAUUUGAAGAUUAUGAGAUUUUAAGUAAUUUAAAUGAUGAAUUGCAUGGUUAUUUUCGUAUUUUCAUGUGUAUGAUAUAAAUUUUCAGAUUUAGAAUUGAAUUUCAAUGCUUUCAUUAUUAAGCAUGAACUUUACUAUGAUUUGACAUGAAUUUGAUGCAUGGGUUAUUUAGCCCUAGUUUGAAUGUUGAUAUUUCAAGAAUAACUAUACUUUAAGCAUCCCAUGACUAGUUAUUUUCAGAUCUUAAUAAAUAUUUGAUCUUUUGGUCUUAGCUUAGACUUGGAAUCUACUUUACAGUCUCAGUUACAGUUUUAGUUAACAGAUAUACAGUUGGUUUUCAUUAUAAACCAUUAUACUAGUUUUAAAGUGGAAUUCCAACAGAAUGAGCAUACAAAUUAAAGAGAGUAGUAUUUAGCACCGAGUUGGGUAUGUUCUCAUGCCCCAGAACUACGAGCCAACAUAGGUAAAAAUUAUCAGAUCAUUCCCAUUUCUAUAUGGAUGAAAGAUACAGAUGUGAUCACUUAGAUUAGGUUAUACUCCUUGGCAAGAGUAUGACACCUCUCCCCAACAUGAGAUUUUUCCAUAAGCGAACUAGACGUUGGAUACUAUAAUAGCUCACAUAGUGUAUGUCGGUUAGAUAAACCUCCCUACAGACUACAAACUACAGAUUUUAGAAUAGAAUAAUCCUAACAGAAAAGCUCUUAGAAACCAAGUGUAAAGGCUCACAAUUUUAUUCAGAUAUUGUUUUACAAAAGAUAUUAGCUAUAAGAUUUCAGAUUUCAGAUUAUAGAUACAGAAGUGAGUCCUUCUACACUUAGACAACAUGAUUUAAAGACAGAAUACUAAUACAACUUUUAGAAACUAAAUGCUAUGACUCACUAGAUUUAUACAGUAUGUUUUGCUACUCAUUAUCAUGAUUCUCAGUUUUCAGUUAUUCAAGUAAUGUGAGUCAUCUACAUUUAGCAUGCAUUCUUUUUUACAAAUUUAUAUUACUAUUGAGUUAUUGAUUUAUUUGUGCAUUCACCCCCAUAUACUCAGUACAAUCCAAAAGUACUGAUCCACAUAUACGUCUAUGUGCUACAUUAUCUCAUAAUGUAGGUUCAGGUGCUCAGUUUCAACAGCGUGAGUGAUUUCGAGUAUCUCUAUCGGCAUCCCGACAUUUGGUGAGUCCUCAUAGUUUGGGGACUUAGUCAUUUAGUUUUUCAACUUAUUAGUAUAGAUGAUUCAGUAUUUUCAG